UACGUAGGCAGCAAGCGUUGUUCAGAGUUACUGGGCGUAAAGGGUGUGUAGGCGGUUCUUUUAAGUUUGGUGUGAAAUCUCCCGGCUCAACCGGGAGGGUGCGCCGAAUACUGAGGGACUAGAGUGCGGGAGAGGAAAGUGGAAUUCCUGGUGUAGCGGUGAAAUGCGUAGAUAUCAGGAGGAACACCGGUGGUGUAGACGGCUUUCUGGACCGUAACUGACGCUGAAACACGAAAGCGUGGGUAGCAAACAGG
rnacentral:rRNA from 1 species